GAUGAACGCUGGCGGCGUGCCUAAUACAUGCAAGUCGAGCGAACAGAUGAGGAGCUUGCUCCUCUGACGUUAGCGGCGGACGGGUGAGUAACACGUGGAUAACCUACCUAUAAGACUGGGAUAACUUCGGGAAACCGGAGCUAAUACCGGAUAAUAUAUUGAACCGCAUGGUUCAAUAGUGAAAGACGGUUUUGCUGUCACUUAUAGAUGGAUCCGCGCCGCAUUAGCUAGUUGGUAAGGUAACGGCUUACCAAGGCAACGAUGCGUAGCCGACCUGAGAGGGGGAUCGGCCACACUGGAACUGGGACACGGUCCAGACUCCUACGGGAGGCAGCAGUAGGGAAUCUUCCGCAAGGGGCGAAAGCCUGACGGAGCAACGCCGCGUGAGUGAUGAAGGUCUUCGGAUCGUAAAACUCUGUUAUUAGGGAAGAACAAAUGUGUAAGUAACUAUGCACGUCUUGACGGUACCUAAUCAGAAAGCCACGGCUAACUACGUG
rnacentral:rRNA from 1 species